rnacentral:rRNA from 1 species
UACCAGCACCCCGAGUGGUCGGGACGAUUAUUGGGCCUAAAGCAUCCGUAGCCGGUUCUACAAGUCUUCCGUUAAAUCCACCUGCUUAACAGAUGGGCUGCGGAGGAUACUAUGGAGCUAGGAGGCGGGAGAGGCAGGCGGUACUUAGUGGGUAGGGGUAAAAUCCGUUGAUCCAUUGAAGACCACCAGUGGCGAAGGCGGCUUGCCAGAACGCACUCGACGGUGAGGGAUGAAAGCUGGGGGAGCAAACCGG